rnacentral:rRNA from 1 species
GACGAACGCUGGCGGCGUGCUUAACACAUGCAAGUCGAACGGAAAGGCCCUGCUUUUGUGGGGUGCUCGAGUGGCGAACGGGUGAGUAACACGUGAGUAACCUGCCCUUGACUUUGGGAUAACUUCAGGAAACUGGGGCUAAUACCGGAUAGGAGCUCCGGCUGCAUGGUGGGGGUGGGAAAGUUUCGGCGGUUGGGGAUGGACUCGCGGCUUAUCAGCUUGUGGGUGGGGUAGUGGCUUACCAAGGCUUUGACGGGUAGCCGGCCUGAGAGGGUGACCGGCCACAUUGGGACUGAGAUACGGCCCAGACUCCUACGGGAGGCAGCAGUGGGGAAUAUUGCACAAUGGGCGGAAGCCUGAUGCAGUAACGCCGCGUGCGGGAUGACGGCCUUCGGGUUGUAAACCGCUUUCGCCUGUGACGAAGCGUGAGUGACGGUAAUGGGUAAAGAAGCACCGGCUAACUACGUG